rnacentral:rRNA from 1 species
CGGCGGACGGGGUGAGUAACGCGUGGGGAACCUGCCUCAUACAGGGGAAUAACAGUUAGAAAUGACUGCUAAUGCCGCAUAAGCGCACACUGUGGCAUCACAGGGUGUGAAAAACUCCGGUGGUAUGAGAUGGCCCCGCGUCUGAUUAGGCAGUUGGCGGGGUAACGGCCCACCAAACCGACGAUCAGUAGCCGACCUGAGAGGGUGACCGGCCACAUUGGGACUGAGACACGGCCCAAACUCCUACGGAAGGCAGCAG